GUGAAUCAUCGAAUUUUUGAACGCAAAUUGCACUCUCUGGUAUUCCGGAGAGUAUGCCUGGUUGAGGGUCAGUUUAAAUAAGAAUCGGUGUGGUUGCUGCCUUUCGUGGUGACGCACCGGAUUGGGUUCGGCUUUCCUUCGGUUAAGUGUCCUAAUAUUUUGCAUGCUUUUUUUCGAACGUAUUUAAAUGAUUUUACGUACUUUUGCGAUAUCUAUUACUUGGUUUGGUCA
rnacentral:misc_RNA from 1 species